rnacentral:pre_miRNA from 14 species
UUUUUUUAAAACAUGGAGUUAGAGCAUUUGUCUUUGAAAAUAGAAAGUGAAAGAUCCCACGCAGAGAGACCCUUACUCAAGUCUUGGGAAAUCGCGGACCCCAGACACAGAGAGACCA